rnacentral:rRNA from 1 species
AACGCUAGCUACAGGCUUAACACAUGCAAGUCGAGGGGCAGCAUGAUUGAAGCUUGCUUCAAUUGAUGGCGACCGGCGCACGGGUGAGUAACACGUAUCCAACCUUCCGUACACUCAGGGAUAGCCUUUCGAAAGAAAGAUUAAUACCUGAUGGUAUCUUAAGCACACAUGUAAUUAAGAUUAAAGAUUUAUCGGUGUACGAUGGGGAUGCGUUCCAUUAGGUAGUAGGCGGGGUAACGGCCCACCUAGCCGACGAUGGAUAGGGGUUCUGAGAGGAAGGUCCCCCACAUUGGAACUGAGACACGGUCCAAACUCCUACGGGAGGCAGCAGUGAGGAAUAUUGGUCAAUGGGCGCGAGCCUGAACCAGCCAAGUAGCGUGAAGGAUGAAGGUCCUAUGGAUUGUAAACUUCUUUUAUACGGGAAUAAAGUGGUCCACGUGUGGGCUUUUGCAUGUACCGUAUGAAUAAGCAUCGGCUAACUCCGUGCCAGCAGCCGCGGUAAUACGGAGGAUGCGAGCGUUAUCCGGAUUUAUUGGGUUUAAAGGGAGCGUAGACGGGGGAUUAAGUCAGUUGUGAAAGUUUGCGGCUCAACCGUAAAAUUGCAGUUGAUACUGGUUCCCUUGAGUGCAGUUGAGGCAGGCGGAAUUCGUGGUGUAGCGGUGAAAUGCAUAGAUAUCACGAAGAACUCCGAUUG